AGUGAACGCUGGCGGUAGGCCUAACACAUGCAAGUCGAACGGCAGCACAGUAAGAGCUUGCUCUUACGGGUGGCGAGUGGCGGACGGGUGAGGCAUGCAUCGGCAUCUACUUUUUCGUGGGGGAUAACGUAGGGAAACUUACGCUAAUACCGCAUACGACCUACGGGUGAAAGCAGGGGAUCUUCGGACCUUUCGCGAUUGAUUUAGCCGGUGUCGCAUUAGCUAGUUGGCGGGGUAAAGGCCCACCAAGGCGACGAUCCGUAGCUGGUCUGAGAGGAUGAUCUGCCACACUGGAGAUGAGACACGGUCCAGACUCCUACGGGAGGCAGCAGUGGGGAAUAUUCCGCAAUGGGCGAAAGCCUGACGUAGCAACACCGCGUGAGUGAGGAAGGUCUUCGGGUCUUAAAACUCUGUUGUUAGGGAAGAAAAAAGGCGCAGGUAAAUACCCCGGUCUUGACGGUACCCAAACAGAAAGCGCCGCCUAACUCCGUG
rnacentral:rRNA from 1 species